UCUGUCCAACAAACCACAGUGCCAUGUGUC
rnacentral:piRNA from 1 species